UACAGAGGGGGCAAGCGUUGUUCGGAAUUACUGGGCGUAAAGGGCGCGUAGGCGGCCUGCUAAGUCGAACGUGAAAUCCCUGGGCUCAACCCAGGAACUGCGUCCGAUACUGGUUGGCUUGAAUCCGGGAGAGGGAUGUGGAAUUCCAGGUGUAGCGGUGAAAUGCGUAGAUAUCUGGAGGAACACCGGUGGCGAAGGCGGCAUCCUGGACCGACAUUGACGCUGAGGCGCGAAAGCUAGGGGAGCAAACGGG
rnacentral:rRNA from 1 species